AGACACAGCUUCAUGUAUAAAGAAAAACUUCCAGAAGAUGUUGAAAUAGUGUCCGUUUUGUUGCACAGUGUUACUUUAGAUAUAGAAAGAGCAUAUGGCAAAAUGUUCCCCAAACUCGUUGUACCGUAUCGGCAAAGGGACUGCGAACUGUGCCAUCGGACAGGUAGACUUGGGAUGCCUCGACGGCCAGCUGACCCCAGAUAUCCGUGGAUAUAUCCAUUGCUCAGAUGAACACUGCGUGGUCUGGUGUGCUCUGUCUGGUGCGAGUCCGUCGGACCGAGCUACUUUCGCGCUACUGCGAGAAGGCAUCAGAAUCGGAAUCGAAAUCUCCAAAAGACCCGCCAGGCAAUCGGCUCAAGAGAACCGCCGCCACCACCAGCGGAUUCCUAUUUAUAGAUGGGUGCUAGUAACGAUCACAACAGAGCCAGUGCCAGUGCCAGACCCAGUGCCAGAGAGAGGAGCAUUCGACUCAGCCGAAACAGCUGUUGCUCUGGCGAGGACGCCCCCCAGGCAUCACCCAGUUACCCACUCACGCACUCAACCACCCAGAUCUCGCUACAGACGAGUACAUAGGAAUGCGUUUGUUUGGGAUCUGCCAAUUGUUCUCUAUAUACGACGAGUAGAUCUUCUAUAUACAAUCGAUCGGCUUGUUUUGUUUUGUUUAAUGAUCACUCACCAGUCGCGUUUUUACCACCGUAUCAUCGCGUCCAAUAGCUUGGGCUGAUGUUUGCGCUGCCAAAACAUUCCAAUUAUCCAUCGGGUUAACUUUACGUCACUUCACGUGUCUCUGGGAAACUGUCUGCGUGUGGGGGUGGUAUGUGUUUCUGAUUCCGGAUCUAUGUCUGGCUCUAUAUCGAUGCACUAUAUACAGGCGGGCGCCGGUUUGUGUCGGUGGUGUCUUGGUAUAUGCGUCUAUAAGUAGCCAAAGCAUUCAUUCAUAAGUUGCAUUCAUUUUUUUUAAGAAACACUCAAUGUGGCUUCUAGAAAUGGUGGGUUUGGAGUUUAAAUAUUAACUGCUACGUCUCCAAGCAGUAUAUAUAGAGACCUGUUUGCUCACCCUGCUUGCAGACAGCUCUUUGGCAUGCGAUCAACUGCUUGGCGACUGCUUGUUUUCCAACACUAAAUAUGUAAGCUUUCUCUGACGCUGAUCAACGUUUAUUUGAAUGAAGAUGUCAUUGGCAGUUAAGGAAACUUUUUCUAUAGAAGCCAAUUUGAUUUUUCUUAAGCCCAGGGUUUCUCUCAUGCAUGAAACGUACUUUAACCUACUAAAAGCUAUGAUUAUAUGUCUAUCUAGUGGGUCAAACACUUAUUCUACGGUUUAGAAAGACACAUAGUUACCCAUUAUGUUAAAUGACUAAACAAAUUUGUUAGACACUCUAUAAAUAAACGAAUAUUAAGCAAAACAGAAA